GUUAGGGUUGGGCUUGGAGCUAGGAUUUUUCUGAGUGCACUGAACCAACUCCCGAGUCUCUAGGACAUUCCUAAAAAAAUUGGAUUUUUUCCCAUAGGAAUGCAUGGGUUAGGGUUAUGGUUAGGGUUAGGGUUGGAGCUAGGGUUAGGGUUAGGGUUAGGGUUGGAGUUAGGGUUAGUGUUGGAGCUAGGGUUAGGGUUGGGCUUGGAGCUAGGAUUUUUCUGAGUGCACUGAACCAACUCCCGAGUCUCUAGGACAUUCCUAAAAAAAUUUGAUUUUUUCCCAUAGGAAUGCAUGGGUUAGGGUUAUGGUUAGGGUUAGGGUUGGAGCUAGGGUUAGGGUUAGGGUUAGGGUUGGAGUUAGGGUUAGUGUUGGAGCUAGGGUUAGGGUUGGGCUUGGAGCUAGGAUUUUUCUGAGUGCACUGAACCAACUCCCGAGUCUCUAGGACGUUCCUAAAAAAAUUUGAUUUUUUCCCAUAGGAAUGCAUGGGUUAGGGUUAGGGUUAGGGUUGGAGCUAGGGUUAGGGUUAGGGUUAGGGUUGGAGUUAGGGUUAGUGUUGGAGCUAGGGUUAGGGUUGGGCUUGGAGCUAGGAUUUUUCUGAGUGCACUGAACCAACUCCCGAGUCUCUAGGACAUUCCUAAAAAAAUUUGAUUUUUUCCCCAUAGGAAUGCAUGGGUUAGGGUUAUGGUUAGGGUUAGGGUUGGAGCUAGGGUUAGGGUUAGGGUUAGGGUUGGAGUUAGGGUUAGUGUUGGAGCUAGGGUUAGGGUUGGGCUUGGAGCUAGGAUUUUUCUGAGUGCAAUGAACCAACUCCCGAGUCUCUAGGACGUUCCUAAAAAAAUUUGAUUUUUUCCCAUAGGAAUGCAUGGGUUAGGGUUAGGGUUAGGGUUGGAGAUAGGGUUAGGGUUAGGGUUAGGGUUAGGGUUAGGGUUAGGGUUGGAGUUAGGGUUAGUGUUGGAGCUAGGGUUAGGGUUGGGCUUGGAGCUAGGAUUUUUCUGAGUGCACUGAACCAACUCCUGAGUCUCUAGGACAUUCCUAAAAUAAUUUGAUUUUUUCCCAUAGGAAUGCAUGGGUUAGGGUUAGGGUUAGGGUUGGAGCUAGGGUUAGGGUUAGGGUUAGGGUUGGAGUUAGGGUUAGUGUUGGAGCUAGGGUUAGGGUUGGGCUUGGAGCUAGGAUUUUUCUGAGUGCAAUGAACCAACUCCCGAGUCUCUAGGACGUUCCUAAAAAAAUUUGAUUUUUUCCCAUAGGAAUGCAUGGGUUAGGGUUAGGGUUAGGGUUGGAGCUAGGGUUAGGGUUAGGGUUAGGGUUGGAGUUAGGGUUAGUGUUGGAGCUAAGGUUAGGGUUGGGCUUGGAGCUAGGAUUUUUCUGAGUGCACUGAACCAACUCCCGAGUCUCUAGGACAUUCCUAAAAAAAAUUGAUUUUUUCCCAUAGGAAUGCAUGGGUUAGGGUUAUGGUUAGGGUUAGGGUUGGAGCUAAGGUUAGGGUUAGGGUUAGGGUUGGCGUUAGGGUUAGUGUUGGAGCUAGGGUUAGGGUUGGGCUUGGAGCUAGGAUUUUUCUGAGUGCAAUGAACCAACUCCCGAGUCUCUAGGACGUUCCUAAAAAAAUUUGAUUUUUUCCCAUAGGAAUGCAUGGGUUAGGGUUAGGGUUAGGGUUGGAGCUAGGGUUAGGGUUAGGGUUAGGGUUAGGGUUGGAGUUAGGGUUAGUGUUGGAGCUAGGGUUAGGGUUGGGCUUGGAGCUAGGAUUUUUCUGAGUGCACUGAACCAACUCCCGAGUCUCUAGGACAUUCCUAAAAAAAUUUGAUUUUUUCCCAUAGGAAUGCAUGGGUUAGGGUUAGGGUUAGGGUUGGAGCUAGGGCUAGGGUUAGGGUUAGGGUUGGAGUUAGGGUUAGUGUUGGAGCUAGGGUUAGGGUUGGGCUUGGAGCUAGGAUUUUUCUGAGUGCACUGAACCAACUCCCGAGUCUCUAGGACAUUCCUAAAAAAAAUGGAUUUUUUCCCAUAGGAAUGCAUGGGUUAGGGUUAUGGUUAGGGUUAGGGUUGGAGCUAGGGUUAGGGUUAGGGUUAGGGUUGGAGUUAGGGUUAGUGUUGGCGCUAGGGUUAGGGUUGGGCUUGGAGCUAGGAUUUUUCUGAGUGCACUGAACCAACUCCCGAGUCUCUAGGACGUUCCUAAAAAAAUUUGAUUUUUUCCCAUAGGAAUGCAUGGGUUAGGGUUAGGGUUAGGGUUGGAGCUAGGGUUAGGGUUAGGGUUAGGGUUGGAGUUAGGGUUAGUGUUGGAGCUAGGGUUAGGGUUGGGCUUGGAGCUAGGAUUUUUCUGAGUGCAAUGAACCAACUCCCGAGUCUCUAGGACGUUCCUAAAAAAAUUUGAUUUUUUCCCAUAGGAAUGCAUGGGUUAGGGUUAGGGUUAGGGUUGGAGCUAGGGUUAGGGUUAGGGUUAGGGUUGGAGUUAGGGUUAGUGUUGGAGCUAGGGUUAGGGUUGGGCUUGGAGCUAGGAUUUUUCUGAGUGCACUGAACCAACUCCCGAGUCUCUAGGACAUUCCUAAAAAAAUUUGAUUUUUUCCCAUAGGAAUGCAUGGGUUAGGGUUAUGGUUAGGGUUAGGGUUGGAGCUAUGGUCAGGGUUAGGGUUAGGGUUGGAGUUAGGGUUAGUGUUGGAGCUAGGGUUAGGGUUGGGCUUGGAGCUAGGAUUUUUCUGAGUGCACUGAACCAACUCCCGAGUCUCUAGGACGUUCCUAAAAAAAUUUGAUUUUUUCCCAUAGGAAUGCAUGGGUUAGGGUUAGGGUUAGGGUUGGAGCUAGGGUUAGGGUUAGGGUUAGGGUUGGAGUUAGGGUUAGUGUUGGAGCUAGGGUUAGGGUUGGGCUUGGAGCUAGGAUUUUUCUGAGUGCACUGAACCAACUCCCGAGUCUCUAGGACAUUCCUAAAAUAAUUUGAUUUUUUCCCAUAGGAAUGCAUGGGUUAGGGUUAGGGUUAGGGUUGGAGCUAGGGUUAGGGUUAGGGUUAGGGUUAGGGUUAGGGUUGGAGUUAGGGUUAGUGUUGGAGCUAGGGUUAGGGUUGGGCUUGGAGCUAGGAUUUUUCUGAGUGCACUGAACCAACUCCCGAGUCUCUAGGACAUUCCUAAA